UCUAUUUUCUUUAUGCUGUUAACCUUAGGCGGGGAGACUGGGGGAUCUUCAUUUAUAUUUUAAAAUUUGAUUCACUCUGCAGUUUGUCUCCUGUCUAUGUAUCCUUUUGAGAAACCGUUUAUGAGUGAUCAUUCUUCCAUCAGAUUGAACAGGAUCCAGGGGGAAGUACCAAGCCUGUCCCAUCGGCCAUCCUGUGUGUCAUGUCCUGUGACCCAGUGGAUGCUCAGCAUCCUCCAGCUGAAGAAACAGAUUGCCUUAGGUACAUGAAAGGUGAGGACACCUACUAUCCCCAUGGAGCCCAGGUGGGCCUGGGAGUCUGCUGUUUGUACAGCCGGUGGGCUCGUGUUGCUUUGGGCAUCCCUGUGCCUGAAUUCCUGCAGUACACUCGGUGCCUGUUUCCUAAUCUGCAAAACUGGAAUGAUGUUAACCAUCCCGCAGGUUUG